rnacentral:lncRNA from 1 species
UAACACCACAAAACCCCCUCACACAGCAGUCAACCACCACUGACAGAUCCUCUCCCAGCCCUUGGGUGCUGUAAUUCCCACCAUUCCUGCCUCUGCUCCCCUGCAGCGUGCCAGGAGAACAGGUACGGCCAGAACUGCAGCCAGAUCUGCCACUGCUUCAACAAUGCCACCUGCAGCCACGUCAGCGGCCUGUGCCUCUGCUCAGAGGGGUGGACAGGACCCUCAUGCCAGCAAGCCUGCCCGGCGGGUUUUUACGGGAGGAACUGCCAGCAGCGCUGCCUCUGCCAGAACGGCGGCACCUGUGACCCGGCCACGGGGGCUUGUGCUUGCCCUGCGGGCUGGACGGGGCUGGCCUGCGAGCUGGCCUGUGCCCAGGGCCAGCAUGGCCUGGACUGCCAGCAGCGCUGUGAGUGCCAGCACGGGGGGCUCUGUGACCGCCAGACAGGGCACUGCCUCUGCCAGCCCGGCUGGACCGGCCACAAGUGCGAGAGACGUAAGUGGGGCACGUGGGGGCUGGGCUGGGCA